UGCUGUAACUGGUGCAUUUAUCAGUUGAAAUUUUAUUAUACUCUGCACAGAAGAGUUUUAAACUUUGUAGCAUUAAGUUGGCAGGUUCUUGUGUUCUAUUAGCGUGCAUCAAGUUGGCAGGUUCUUGUGUUCUAUUAGCGUGCAUCAAAGAAGACCACGUUAUUUCAAACCUGAGGGUCAAUAAGGGGUUUCAACUGGAAGGAUGCCCUGGUUAGCCUGCAGAGACAUGAACCUGCGAUACGUGGACUACUUAAGUAUUACUUAGCGAGUAGAUUUUGUAGAACAUUCAUGACCUGGCUUUCUUGUGGUGUAGGUAGCUGGGCAGCGGACACAUACACUAGCCAGUGCAUUUAUUUGUCUUCAAAUGAAGUGUUCCUGGCACUCCCCUACGUGCUAUGUAUUUGCUAAAUCUUGAAAAUGCCCCUAUCCAUGUUAGAUUUGUACUGAAGAAGACCACAUGACCUGUCAAUCAAGGUGAUCAGCGGCAUAGACCUUAUUGUCAACUGGACAUAGCAAAGCUUUUUUCAACCCUGAGAUUCCACAAGGAAACACAUGGUCUUCCCUGCUCAUCUUGUUAUUGUUGAUGUAUUGACCGCUGCAGACACUUGAACCUGAUCCAAAAUGAAGGGUGCAUUGGUGAGCACUCAGACCCUCGGACGUGCACCCAUAGAUCUAAAUGAUAAAAAGGUGGCUCUGGAAAGACAUACAUCAGCCUAGGCAGCAUGUUGCCUUCAACAAGUACUCCUGAUCCCCAGAUCCCCC